AUGCGCUCCGCUUCACCAUUGCUGUACGCCGCCAGCGGGGAGACGUCCGUCCGCGGUCGUGUGGUGCUUUCCGGCCGGACAGACGCGGUCUCGGCGUCGUCCUCGUCCGUGGCGGAGAGGGAGAGGGGGCCCGUCGACGCCAUCUUUCUCGGCGCCGACUUCGCCCAAUCAGCCUCCUGCCUUGUCGUCUCGCUUGGCGAGCCAGCGGCGUGCGGUGUGGUUCAUGGCGUUGGUGGAGUCCAAGGCCGUGGCCUUACGCGCAUCGUGUUCGUUCGACCCAUGGAGGGUGUGUUGCGGUCCACCAUGAAGGGCGGCGGCGCGGGCGGCGAAGAAUCGAGAGCCCGAGCAGCGACGCCGACAAGCGCGCCAUUUUUUCUUUCUCAUGUUGUUGAUUGGUCGUGGCUGUACUUAAGGUACCUUCUUCUCGAUCUAGAUGUGUGCACGAGAAGUGUACGUGCACGCCAACAACUGUAUUUCAAUGGCUUAGUUUCAUGUGCCAGAUCGCUGUUUCCCAAUUUAUACCAGGCUGAUGCAAUUCACACACCACAUAAACCAUGUGUUGUGCUCUUUAUUGGUUCAUUGGUUGUGGUAGCUGCGGGGCUGGCGGCCGCAUUCGGGGUUGGAGAUGGCACGAGAUGCGGAGCUGCCUUGUGCCAUUCUUUCGCAAGUUCUUACAGAUUUGUGCUUGCAUUAAGAAGAAAAAGCUACCAUGCUAGAUUAGUUGAUCCAAGGCUGAAGUUGCAUACCAAAAUAAUCUUGAGAAAUUUAAAGUUCACCAUGGUACUAGCAGACAGGCUUCUUGGUUGA
rnacentral:rRNA from 1 species